AAGACAAUGAUGAGAACUUGUACGGUCUCGAAGAGAGAUGAUGACCUAAAAAUCAUGCUCAAGAGAAUUACUCUGUGGCCC
ensembl:snoRNA SNORD115 Small nucleolar RNA SNORD115